rnacentral:rRNA from 1 species
CGCCUGUUUAACAAAAACAUGACCUGUUGAUUGUUUAUAUUAGGCCAGGCCUGCCCACUGAUGUUAAUUAAAGGGCCGCAGUAAUUUGACUGUGCGAAGGUAGCAUAAUCAUUUGUCUAUUAAUUGUAGGCUUGUAUGAAUGGUUUGAUGAAAUAUUAACUUUCUUUAUAUAGUAUUUAUGAAUUUAAUAUUUAAGUUAAAAAGCUUAAAUGUUUAUGGAGGACGAGAAGACCCUAUAGAAUUUUAUUAUUAUCUAUUAUUGUUUUUUUGGUUAAUUUUAAGAUUAAUAAUAUGGUAAUGAUUUUGUUGGGGCGACAUGGAGAUUAAAUUAACUCUCUUUAUUUAUAUUUUAUUAAUAUAUAUAUAUAGGAUCCCUUUUUAAGGAUUAUAAGAUUAAAUUACCUUAGGGAUAACAGCGUAAUUUUUAUGGAGAGUUCUUAUUGAUAUAAGAGUUUGCGACCUCGAUGUUGGACUAACGCCAGAUUUGCGUGUAGCAGCAUCAGAGUCUAGGUCGUUGCCUUAUACUU